rnacentral:rRNA from 1 species
AUGUGGACCGAUGAUCUUAAAGUCUCUGUUCAUAGUACUGCUUUCCACUACAUAUUAUCUAAAGUAGUUCAUGUAGCUUCGGGGGUCAGCUUUUGUUUGAUUUGUAUAUAUGGUGACCCGUACCAUAGGCAAACUAGUGCCAUCUGGGAUCAAGUUUCUACUUUUGUGUAUGAUAAUCUGGGUAUCCCCAUGAUGUGUUUGGGGGACUUGAAUGACAUCCUGUAUGAUAUUGAUGGUUGUAAUGGCUAUGUGAAUUACUAUCGUAUGCAUGCUUUUCGUUCCCUUGUCAAAAAUUGUGGUUUGUUUGAUAUUGGUUAUUGUGGUCCAGCCUAUACUUGGCGCGGUAGACAACACACUUCUAAUCCUAUUUAUAGACGCCUUGACCGUUGUUUAGUUAAUUCUGAGUGGUGCAUGCAUUGCCCUAAUACCAAAGUUCUUAAUCUGCCUAUUAUUUUGAGUGAUCAUGCCCCCAUUUUGGUGUCUACUGAAGGUAAUUUUGUCAAGCCUCGGCAAACUUUCAAAUUUUAA